ensembl:snRNA U1 U1 spliceosomal RNA
AUACUUACCUGGCAGGGGAGAUACCAUGAUCACGAAGGUGGUUUUCCCAGGGCGAGGCUCAUCCAUUGCACUCCGGAUGUGCUGACCCCUGCGAUUUCCCCAAAUGUGGGAAACUCGACUGCAUAAUUUGUGGUAGUGGGGGACUGCGUUCGCGCUCUCCCCUG